rfam:Myotis brandtii contig161002, whole genome shotgun sequence.
GCCGGUUUGGCUCAGUGGAUAGAGCGUUGGCCUGGGGACUCAAGGGUCCCAGGUUCGAUUCCGGGCAAGGGCA